CCUACGGGAGGCAGCAGUGAGGAAUAUUGGUCAAUGGCCGGAAGGCUGAACCAGCCAAGCCGCGUGAAGGAGGAAGGUGCCAAGCAUUGUAAACUUCUUUUGUCAAGGGACAAACUCAGGCUCGCGAGCCUGGCCGAGUGUACUUGAAGAAAAAGCAUCGGCUAACUCCGUGCCAGCAGCCGCGGUAAUACGGAGGAUGCGAGCGUUAUCCGGAUUUAUUGGGUUUAAAGGGUGCGUAGGCGGACUGUUAAGUCAGCGGUAAAAGCCCGGGGCUCAACCCCGGCGAGCCGUUGAAACUGGCGGGCUUGAGAUGGAGAGAGGUAGGCGGAAUGCGCAGUGUAGCGGUGAAAUGCUUAGAUAUUGCGCAGAACUCCGAUUGCGAAGGCAGCAUACCGGCGGCGAACUGACGCUGAGGCACGAAAGCGUGGGUAUCGAACAGGAUUAGAUACCCCUGUAGUC
rnacentral:rRNA from 1 species